AACAAACGCUGGCGGCGUGCCUAAUACAUGCAAGUCGAACGGGGAAAGCUUUCGGGUGAGUACUAGUGGCGCACGGGUGAGGAACGCGUGGAUAAUCUGCCUUAGAGUGGGGGAUAACUAGUCGAAAGAUUAGCUAAUACCGCAUAAGACCACGAGAGCUGCGGCUUUUGAGGUCAAAGGUUUUUCGCUCUAAGAUGAGUCCGCGUAAGAUUAGCUAGUUGGUGAGGUAACGGCUCACCAAGGCGACGUUCUUUAACUGGUCUGAGAGGAUGAUCAGUCACACUGCAACUGAGACACGGUCCAGCCUCCUCCGGGCGGCAGCAGUAUGGACUAUUGCACAAUGGGGGAAACUCUGAUGCAGCGACGCCGCGUGAGUGAUGAAGGCCUUCGGGUCGUAAAGCUCUGUCGCAGGGGAAUAACACAAUGCAGGUACCCUGUAAGAAAGGAUCGGCUACCUUCGU
rnacentral:rRNA from 1 species